UACGUAGGGUGCAAGCGUUGUCCGGAAUUAUUGGGCGUAAAGAGCUCGUAGGCGGUUUGUCGCGUCUGCUGUGAAAACUCAGGGCUUAACCCUGAGCCUGCAGUGGGUACGGGCAGACUAGAGUGCGGUAGGGGAGAUCGGAAUUCCUGGUGUAGCGGUGGAAUGCGCAGAUAUCAGGAGGAACACCGGUGGCGAAGGCGGAUCUCUGGGCCAUAACUGACGCUGAGGAGCGAAAGCAUGGGGAGCGAACAGG
rnacentral:rRNA from 1 species